GCCGGGCGUGGUGGCUCAUGCCUGUAAUCCCAGCACUUUGGGAGGCUGAGGUGGGUGGAUCACCUGAGGUCAGGAGUUCAAGACCAGCCUGGCCAACAUGGUGAAACCCCAUCUCUA
rfam:Pan troglodytes isolate Yerkes chimp pedigree #C0471 (Clint) chromosome 1, whole genome shotgun sequence.